AAAUUACCGGUUCCCGUACGAUCACCGAAGUUAAGCAAUGUCGAGCUUGGUUAAUAAUAGAUUGGGGACCACUUGAGUAUAUCUGGUGCUGUCAU